GAUGAACGCUGGCGGCGUGCCUAAUACAUGCAAGUCGAGCGAACGGACGAGAAGCAUGCUUUUCUGAUGUUAGCGGCGGACGGGUGAGUAACACGUGGAUAACCUACCUAUAAGACUGGGAUAACUUCGGGAAACCGGAGCUAAUACCGGAUAAUAUUUUGAACCGCAUGGUUCAAAAGUGAAAGACGGUCUUGCUGUCACUUAUAGAUGGAUCCGCGCUGCAUUAGCUAGUUGGUAAGGUAACGGCUUACCAAGGCAACGAUGCAUAGCCGACCUGAGAGGGGGAUCGGCCACACUGGAACGGGGACACGGUCCAGACGCCUACGGGAGGCAGCAGUAGGGAAUCUUCCGCAAUGGGCGAAAGCCUGACGGAGCAACGCCGCGUGAGUGAUGAAGGUCUUCGGAUCGUAAAACUCUGUUAUUAGGGAAGAACAUAUGUGUAAGUAACUGUGCACAUCUUGACGGUACCUAAUCAGAAAGCCACGGCUAACUACGUG
rnacentral:rRNA from 1 species